rnacentral:rRNA from 1 species
CCUGCGGAAGGAUCAUUAUUGAAUAAACUUGAGCAGGCUGUUGCUGGUCUCUAUGGAGGCAUUGUGCACGCUUGUCAUCUUUAUUUCUCCCCACUGUGCACACAUUGUAGACCUGGAGUUUUGAUUUGUUCGAUUGAGGACUGCUGUGCUCUCCUUGCAUUUUCAGGUCUAUGUUACUUUUUUCACAAUCUCUUGAUGUGUUAAGAAUGUUGAAUUAGGUCAUUUGUUACCUAUAAAAGUUAUAUACAACUUUCAGCAACGGAUCUCUUGGCUCUCGCAUCGAUGAAGAACGCAGCGAAAUGCGAUAAGUAAUGUGAAUUGCAGAAUUCAGUGAAUCAUCGAAUCUUUGAACGCAUCUUGCGCUCCUUGGUAUUCCGAGGAGCAUGCCUGUUUGAGUGUCAUUUAAGUUCUCAACUAUACCGGUUGUACAUAUAAUUGGUGUGGCUUGGAUAUUGGGGGUUCACAUUUUGCAGGCCUCAAAAAAAUGAGGUCUGCUCCCCUGAAAUGUAUCAGUAGUAUCUGAGCAGAGACUACCACAGGUGUGAUAAUUAUCUAUGCCUUGGUGGACUUGCAUAAACAAGGAUCAUACUGCUUCUAACAAGUGAAGGAUUCUCUCCUCACCUUUGACAAAUUUGACCUCAAAUCAGGUAGGACUACCCGCUGAACUUAAGCAUAUCAA